GGGAAACUGAGGCUAAUCCCAGAUAGAUGAUGGAUCCUGGAAUGGUUCUUCAUCCAAAAAAUAUGCAUUUCAUGCUAUGUAUGUUGCCUGAGGAUGGGACCGCACCCUAUCAGGUAGUUGGUGGGGUAAUGGCCCACCAAGCCUAUAACGGGUACGGGCCCUGAGAGGGGGAGCCCGGAGAUGGGCACUGAGACAAGGGCCCAGGCCCUACGGGGCGCAGCAGGCGCGGAACCUCUGCAAUGCGCGAAAGCGCGACAGGGCCACCCCGAGUGCUAUCCGCUGAGGGUAGCUUUUCCCUAGUGUAGUAAGCUAGGGGAAUAAGCGGGGGGCAAGCCUGGUGUCAGCCGCCGCGGUAAUACCAGCUCCGCGAGUGGUCGGGACGAUUAUUGGGCCUAAAGCGUUCGUAGCCGGCCUAUCAAGUCUCUGGUUAAAUUUCAAGGCCUUAACCUUGAACGUGCUGGAGACACUGUUAGGCUAGGGGCCGGAGAGGUUGAGGGUACUUCGCGGGUAGGGGGCAAAAUCCUAAUAAUCCCGCGAAGGACCCCAGUGGCGAAGGGCGCUCACUGGAACGCGCCCACGGUUAGGGAUGAAGCCAGGGGAACAAGGGGAAUAGAUACCCCCCGUAGUCUUGGCUGUAAACAAUGCGGCUAGGUGUGGGGUUGGCUUCGGGCCACACAGAGCGCGACGAAGCGAUAUAGCCCCCCCUGGAAGACGUCCGAGGGUCACUUAG
rnacentral:rRNA from 1 species